UACGAAGGGGGCUAGCGUUGCUCGGAAUCACUGGGCGUAAAGCGCACGUAGGCGGUUCGUUAAGUCGGAUGUGAAAGCCCUCGGCUCAACUGAGGAAGUGCACCCGAAACUGGCGAGCUUGAGUACGAAAGAGGAUCGCGGAAUUCCCGGUGUAGAGGUGAAAUUCGUAGAUAUCAGGAGGAACACCGGUGGCGAAGGCGGGUCUCUGGGCCGAUACUGACGCUGAGGAGCGAAAGCGUGGGGAGCGAACAGG
rnacentral:rRNA from 1 species